CGAGCCGAGGGGCGCUGCGACGGACCCGGAUCCCGCGGAUCUGGUCCGCCACGCUCGGCCCGGUGGUCAGACGUCAAGGGCGCCCCCUGAUG
rnacentral:ncRNA from 2 species